UACGAAGGGGGCUAGCGUUGUUCGGAAUUACUGGGCGUAAAGCGCGCGCAGGCGGUCCUUUAAGUCGGGGGUGAAAGCCCAGAGCUCAACUCUGGAACUGCCUUCGAAACUAGAGGACUUGGGUACGGGAGAGGUGAGUGGAAUUCCGAGUGUAGAGGUGAAAUUCGUAGAUAUUCGCAAGAACACCAGUGGCGAAGGCAGCUCUCUGGGACGGUACUGACGCUGAGGAGCGAAAGCGUGGGUAGCAAACAGG
rnacentral:rRNA from 1 species